AUAAAGAAUCUGGCCUGCCCAGUGACUUAUAGUUUAACGGCCGCAGUAAUUUGACUGUGCGAAGGUAGCAUAAUCAUUUGCCCCAUAAUUGGGGGCUGGUAUGAAUGGUUUGACACGAAAACAAUUGUCUUUAUUUUGGUUUUUAGAAUUUUACUUUUAGGUGAAGAGGCCUAGUUAUUAUUAAUAGACAAGAAGACCCCGUCGAUCUUAUAAAUUUGUUGUUAAAUAGAGUUAUAUAGUAUUAAUAGAUUUAAAUUUAAUGAGAGUUUUUGAUUGGGGCGAUUAGAGAACAUUUAAAGCUUCUCUUGAGUACUACAUUUUAUGUGAUCCAAGGGUUAUUUUGAUUAAAAGAAUAAGUUACCGCGGGGAUAACAGCAUGAUUUCUUUGGAGAGUUCGCAUUGAUAAAGAAGUUUAUGACCUCGAUGUUGGAUCAAAUUUUCCUGUAGAUGUAGAAGUCUGCAAGGGUUGGUCUGUUCGACCAUUAAAAUUUUA
rnacentral:rRNA from 1 species